UUCAUUUUUCCCAUCACUAUUUUUGAGUUUAAAAAUAACCCCACCGUCAUCGUUUGACGUUUAAUUUUGGAGAUUAUUUUCCGCGGCCUAUCAGCAGCCACAAAGUUGUGCAACGAACAAGAGCAGGAAAGCAUUCUCCGCCUCCUUCGAAACCUGCGGCACGUGAAGCACCUGAAAGCACUAACACUAACCUAGAAAAAAUCGGUUGGAAGUGACCAAUGGCCGAAGUGAGCAGCAUCUUUAACAAUCACCUUCACGUGCGAUUGCUCAAAUUUAGGGCCAACAGCAACUUCAGUCGCGUACGCGUUAUUGCUCAUACCGAUGACUUUGAACCGGAAGCUGGCAUGAUGUUCCUGUGCAAUUGCUGUAUGGAGAGCUUUUAUAGCCCCAGCGACGUGUCGUGCCGAUUCCUGCUGGUUUUGUAUUACCAUCUGUACGAGCAGCAUCCGCACUUGCUGUGUGUAGCGCCGCUUGAUGGGCCAAAGGAAGACUGCUAGAUUGUGUAAGGGUUUUUGUGCAAUGUUUCUUAAAACCUGGGACAAAUGUAGGUGAAGGAAAUAAAGCCCGCUAUCGGGCUGAGGAGUCAACUCUUUCAAA